CUGACGCAGCGACGCCGCGUGUGGGAUGACGGCCUUCGGGUUGUAAACCACUGUCGGAAGGGACGAAUGGCCCGCAAGGGCAGUGACGGUACCUUCAAAGGAAGCACCGGCUAACUCCGUGCCAGCAGCCGCGGUAAUACGGAGGGUGCGAGCGUUGUCCGGAAUCACUGGGCGUAAAGGGCGCGUAGGCGGCCCGGUAAGUAGGGGGUGAAAUCUUGCGGCUUAACCGCAAGGCUGCCUUCUAGACUGCCAGGCUUGAGCACAGUAGAGGCAGGUGGAAUUCCCGGUGUAGCGGUGGAAUGCGUAGAGAUCGGGAAGAACAUCAGUGGCGAAGGCGGCCUGCUGGACUGUAGCUGACGCUGAGGCGCGACAGCGUGGGGAGCAAACAGGAUUAGAUACCCUGGUAGUCCACGCCGUAAACGAU
rnacentral:rRNA from 1 species